UUGCUUGUCCCGAUAAUACCUGGCAGUGUCAAAAUAAGGAUUGUAUUCCAAAUAUAUGGCGAUGUGACGGUAUUGCUGAUUGUCCGGAUGAAACUGAUGAAGUGGAAUGUUCCACUGCCUCAAGUCUCCUUAUCGGCUCAAGUUUAAUGCUGCUUGGAGCUCCCGUGGUCAUAUGGGUUUUUACGGAGAUGAUGUUUUGACCCUGGUGGAGCACAGGGAAACAGUAUCUAGUGCUCCGGAUAAAAAUUUAAUAAACAAGUCAGAAUUUGUGAAUUUACCUGUUUCUACUGGUGAUAGUGAUGUCAUUAUAAACAAUAAUAAUGGUUAACAUGCCUAAACUCUGUGUAUACAAACGUAAAGUGUUUAUAAACAGACAUAGGUCAUAACCUAUAUUGUUUUAUUUAUAUACAAGAGGCAACUUCACGCCGGGUAUUUUUGUUCACCAAGAAGACUUUAAACGGAACCAAAAUCUAAUUGUUCGUAUAUUGUUAUCGUCUGUGGUGCGUGAUGUAAAGGGAGAGAGACUAGAUAAGGUGUUGUGUUUUUGGUUUUAAAGCAAGGAUUGUGAAUUUUAUUCAUAUUAUUAAUGAGAGUGAAAGGACCGCACAGCUGGAAUUAUUGUUGUUUUAAAAUGUGAAUAUCUUUCUUCGUAAACUUUUAGAAUGACAAAAACAAAACCUCAUAAUUGUUUGACAUGUUCCUGUAUAUCAUAGAUAAUGUAGACCAUAUGCUGCAACAAACAGUGUAUAAGUUAUAUAUAUUUUCUAUUGAUACAACUAUAUGCGCACACAUAACUAUUUAUGUCAGCCGCCCCAGACAAGGUUUGUCAAGAGGUCACCGAAUGCUCACAUUGCGCGAACAAGUGCAUUCAGCACAAUCCAGUCACAAUUGUGUGAAUUGUUCGCAAAAAAAUAAUUCGGUUACAUUCAAAAUUUUAAAAAAAAACUUUACAAUUUGUUAAAAGUUUUAUUGCUAUUUCCAAUUCCUCAAACACACAAAACAAUAUGCUAAAUAGGUUAUUUGGAGAUUCAGAAUUGAAUGAGCUAUGAAAGAUAGGUUUGGAAGGUAUAUGGUGUUAUUGUCCCCCGCCUUUCGAAGAAAGCAGGGGACUAUUAAAAUGGGUCAAUCUGUCUGUCACACGUUUUUGGGACACGAGAAGUCUCCUUCUAAUUGAGCUAGGUGUAGGCGUUUAUUAGGCAUUUUUUUUCUUAGGCUAAGCACAGAUACGCAGUUUGAUUGGUUUAUGCUUUGGGACACGAUAACUUUGAUUCUAAUUAAGUAAGAGUGAUGAAAUUUGGUGUAUAGUUACAUUACAUCAAUACCUUGACUAAGUUCGAUAAUGAGCAUUUUCUGCUGAGGGUAAACAAAGCGAUAAGCAAUUUGAUUGGUCGAUACUUUGGAGCUCGAUAACCUUGAUUUUAAUUGAGUGAGAGUGGUGAAACUUCGUAUAUAGUUUCAUUACAUCAAUACCUUAGUCCAAGUAGAGACUUCAAUCUGAAUGAUCGAUACUUUGGAACACAAUAACUCCCCUUCUAAUUGAGGUAAAUUGUCCAAACCUGGUGUAGGUGUUGACUAGGUGAAUGUCUUGACAGGGUAAGACCAUGCAUAUUUUCCACUAAGGCUUAGAAGUGAUAGGCAACUUGAUUGGUCGAGACUUUGGUUUGGAACACAAUAACUUUGAUUCUAUUUGUGUGAGAGUUAUGGAACUCAGAAUAUACAUUCAUUAUAUUAAUACCUUGACGAAGUUCGAUGAUGGGAAGUUUCUGCUUAGGCUAAGUAGCGAUAAGCAAUUUGAUCGGUCAAGAACAACUCUGCUUUUAAUUGAGGUAGAAUGUUUAAAGAUGGGUUCCCAGAAAAGUAUUUAUCGGGUGGUUAUUUCCAACUAGUUUCCAAUAAAAGUAUGGUAGUUUUGGUAUAUAUGGAAAGUAGAGAUAUCCAAUCGUACUAGAAAAAUACUGGAUUCCCCUAAAAAACAUUCAUGGAGCGUAUACAGGACAAAAAUGUAAGGGUUUCCCUAAUCGACAGCCCGACGAUUAGGAAUUUCUGCACGCGUGAUGUCAAAGGUCACACGCGAACAUUGAGCGCUUGAUGUACAAGUUGAUAAACUUUAUGAAGAGUUAGACGUACAACACUUUCUGAGAUAAAAAUGACGGAAAAAGACGCGGGUAGUGGAUAAUCCGAGAAUAUAAUUAGGAUUCGAUAUUUGUAAACAUCGUCUUAUGCAUGCAAUGAAUUCUCCUCUGACUUACAAGAGAGUUAAGUCACGUGACGUAAACAUGGCCUGGUUUGAUCGAAUUUUUAUAGCAGGACAUUCCUUCGCAAUUACAAUGUUUGAGAAGAAUUUGAAGCAAAAUUCUAACAAAUUAAUUAGUUUGAAUAUGUUUUUAGUCCAUAUAUACCAUUAAAUCACCCAGUUUGUACGCGGGAACCCAUCUUUAAACUUGGUGUAGAUCAAUCUGAUUAAAAUACAGAUCUAUAUUUCGUUUCGUUUUUUAUACUUUCGAUGUCCUACACUACAUGAAGAUCUGACCAGUCGUUUUGGGAGGUUGCGUCAGAGGGCAUACGAGGGGUUUUGACCUAUGACGACACACAUUUCAUUAACCAAUCAGCAUUGAUGUUUCUAGUGGAUUACCCACAGUUCCGUGCACCUCACACCAAAAACUCGCCGUAACAGACCGUUUCAUUGGCUAAUCCCUCACAUCAUCCAGCACUCGGCAAACCUCGGCAGAUUCCGUUACACCACAUCUAGCCUCGACAUGGCGGUAAGUGAUAUGUACCUACGCCUAUACAAUUUCGAUGCGGCACCGGUUUACUUAUUAGGAAACUUGCCGCUUUUAAAAAGAAGUUAUCAAAAUUGCGUCGUUAAGAAAAUCUGAUAAAUUUGAAAGAAAAAUACCUUCAGACUUUGAAAUAUUUGUAUGAUAAAACAUUCUUCAAAGGCGUCGUUAUGGGCAACGCUGUUGGUAAUCCGGGAACUUGAAAGUAGUUCCAAUGGCGGACUUCGUCAUACAGCCGUGGCUAGAUGUAAGGUACUUGAAUCUGCCGAGGUUUGCCGAGUGAUCAUCCAGAACACGUCAAUGACAACAACUCUUCCAGAUCCUGGCGUAGUAAUGACAAGUAAAAACGAAAUUUUGAACUAUAAAAAAUGUAGAUGUUCAUUAGGUGGAUGUCUUGACUGAGUUCAACGAUUAACAUUUCCGCUAAAACUAAGCAGGGCUAAGCAAGUUCAUUGAUCGAUGCUUUGGGACAAGAUAACGUUGAUUCUAACUUACGGAGAGUGAUGAAACUUUAUACUAUAGAUCAAUUUGAUUCCUCGGAGCUUUUCAUAAAGAUACAUGUGCAUUGACUAACAUUUAUCCAUAUAUUUAUUUUGGGAUUGCCGCGGGGGGCAUCAGCCUCACUGUUGACUUGUUAAUAGACUUUUUGUAUUACAUUUUAAAAACAAAUUUAAUACAACGUGUUUGUCUACCAGGCUCCGAAACAAAACGUGGCCUAACAUUAUCGAAACAAAAAUAUUAUCCUGAACUUAAAACUUUAUUUCCGUCAAACAUUUUGGGAGUGUAAAUAAGUGCUUAUUAAUGAUCUAUUCGGUCUAUCAAAAGAUACUACCAUGUUCGAGGUCCUCACAGAUUGACUGGACUGGUCUUCCAUUAUAUGCACCAACCUAAUGUAACCUAACUACCCAGACAAAACAUUUCUCAAAUUUCACAGCAUACUAUUUCUAAUUACA